GCCCAGAUGAGCCCCUGCUGGAAGGGACAAUCAGACUGUUUGGAGACAAGUCUGUGGAAACACAGACUGUUUGGAGACAAGCCUUGAAGAGAAGGGUGGGGUCCCACAGUGGGUUUGUUGGAUACCCCUGUUUUGAGUUGUGGAUUUUUUUUUGUUCUUGAUUUUCUUUGCACCUCAACACCCCAGAAGUGGUAGGACUGAAGUUUGCCUGGGCUAGAGCGAAAGAACCACUCCUGUGGACCUCACAGUGACCUAGCAAUGGAAACCUGCAGCUGGGACUUCAAAACGGAUGUUCCCUCUCUGGUAUAAAAGCAGCACGGAGGAGAUGGAAAUCAUCCGAAAGCAACGUGGUUUUAAGACACGGAGAUGCUAAUGAACUUCCUCCAUUAUCAGUCUUUGAAGCCACCCACUAGAGAGAUACGCAUACACUAGUUCAAACUGGAUUCUCCAGAGACCAACAGACAAAGAAAAGACUUGGAUAAAUAGUCUCAGUUUAAACUGACUCGCGGCCUCCUUCCUGAGCUAGCCAUCAGACAGGACCUCUGGUCCACAGAGGGCACCAACCCUUGAGGAAGAACUCGGCCUACUCAGG